UGGGGAAUAUUGCACAAUGGGCGCAAGCCUGAUGCAGCCAUGCCGCGUGUGUGAAGAAGGCCUUCGGGUUGUAAAGCACUUUCAGCGAGGAGGAAGGUGGUGAGCUUAAUACGCUCAUCAAUUGACGUUACUCGCAGAAGAAGCACCGGCUAACUCCGUGCCAGCAGCCGCGGUAAUACGGAGGGUGCAAGCGUUAAUCGGAAUUACUGGGCGUAAAGCGCACGCAGGCGGUUUGUUAAGUCAGAUGUGAAAUCCCCGGGCUCAACCUGGGAACUGCAUUUGAAACUGGCAAGCUAGAGUCUCGUAGAGGGGGGUAGAAUUCCAGGUGUAGCGGUGAAAUGCGUAGAGAUCUGGAGGAAUACCGGUGGCGAAGGCGGCCCCCCUGGACGAAGACUGACGCUCAGGUGCGAAAGCGUGGGGCAGCAAACAGGAUUAGAUACCCUGGUAGUCCAGCGCUGUAAACGAUGUCGAUUUGGAGGUUGUGCCCUUGAGGCGUGGCUUCCGGAGCUAACGCGUUAAAUCGACCGCCUGGGGAGUACGGCCGCAAGGUUAAAACUUAAAUGAAUUGAC
rnacentral:rRNA from 1 species